rnacentral:sRNA from 1 species
GGUAAACGCGAGGAGGCAGAGAUGGGAAUUACCAACUCACUCAAUAGACUGAUCGUCAGUGCAGCGUUUGUUUUCAUCGCGGCCAUGCUGUUCAUCUGAACGGGUCGCCUGAAGCCUGAG